GUUCUCUUCAAAAAAAGCUCUCUCUCUCUCUCUCCCAGCCCUCUCUCUGCCUGGGGAUUUUCGGUGAGAUUCCGGCGCCGUACCUCUGCCGUGUGCCACCGUCGUCGGCCACCGUACAUUUUCGAAAAAGGUGCAACUUGCUGAUGGGACAAGGGUGGUGCUGCAAGCGGUGGAGCAGUUGGCCAACCUUGGCAAAGGCAGAUGGUUCGGCGCCGAAUGCUAGGGGGGCUAGGGUUAAUCUUUUUUGAUUUUGUUAUCUCUUUUGUUGGUUUGGGCUAGGGUUAAUCAAUUGGGUUUUGGGUUGGGUUUUGGGUUUAAUUUUGAGUGGGCUAGGGGUUUUGGGUAUGUGGGCCAAAAUUGGCCUGUAACAAUUUUUAUCAUUUAAUUGUAAAAUCAAUUUUAUUUAAUUUCAGAAUCACUUUAAAAUAAA